rnacentral:rRNA from 1 species
GCCUUAGUAACGGCGAGUGAAGCGGCAACAGCUCAAAUUUGAAAUCUGGCCCUCGGGUCCGAAUUGUAAUUUGUAGAGGAUGAUUUUGGUGCGGUAUCUUCCGAGUUCCUUGGAACAGGACGCCUUAGAGGGUGAGAGCCCCGUACGGUUGAAUGCCUAGCCUCUGUAAAUCUCCUUCGACGAGUCGAGUAGUUUGGGAAUGCUGCUCUAAAUGGGAGGUAAAUUUCUUCUAAAGCUAAAUAUUGGCCAGAGACCGAUAGCGCACAAGUAGAGUGAUCGAAAGAUGAAAAGCACUUUGAAAAGAGGGUUAAAUAGCACGUGAAAUUGUUGAAAGGGAAGGAUUUGUGACCAGACUUUUUCUGGGCGGAUCAUCCGGGGUUCUCUCCGGUGCACUUUGCCCAGUAAAGGCCAGCAUCGAUUUUCGGCGGCGGAUAAAAGCAGUGGGAAUGUGGCUCCCUACGGGGAGUGUUAUAGCCCAUUGUAUAAUACGCUGCUGGGGAUCGAGGUACGCGCUUCUGCAAGGAUGCUGGCGUAAUGGUUAUCAAUCA